rnacentral:tRNA from 1 species
GUGUCUGUAGCUGAGUGGUUACAGCGCCUGACUGUGGAUCAGGAGAUCGUGGGUUCAAUUCCCAUCAGACACCCCA